rnacentral:rRNA from 1 species
GAUGAACGCUGGCGGCGUGCUUAACACAUGCAAGUCGAACGGAAAGGCCCUGCGUUUGUGGGGUGCUCGAGUGGCGAACGGGUGAGUAACACGUGAGUAUACUGCCCUUGACUUUGGGAUAACUUCAGGAAACUGGGGCUAUUACAGGAUAGGAGCUCCUGCUGCAUGGUGGGGAUUGGAAAGUUUCGGCGGUUGGGGAUGGACUCGAGGCUUAUCAGCUUGUUGGUGGGGUAGUGGCUUACCAAGGCUGUGACGGGUAGCCGGCCUGAGAGGGUGACCGGCCACAUUGGGACUGAGAGACGGAGCAGACGCCUACGGGAGGCAGCAGUCGAGAAUAUUGCACAAUGAGCGGAAGUCUGAUGCAGCAACGCCGCGUGCGUGAUGACGGCCUUCGAGUUGUAAACCGCUGUCGCCUGUGACGAGGCGUGAGUGACGGUAAUGGGUAAGGAAGCACCGGCUAACUACGUG